AACAACAUAACUUCGUGCAGCCAAGAAUCUCCAUUCUUGAUGCCUAUUAUAACGGUGUUAACGGAGUCUACGAGGAAGAUUUCCCUCAGAAUCCGCCUUUCCCGUUCAACUACACGAUGGAGUUCGUGCCACAGCUGCUAUGGAUACCUCAAAAUGGGACAGAAGUUAGAGUGGUGGAGUAUAAUACCUCAGUAGAGCUUGUCUUCCAAGGAACAAACAUUCUUGGUGGGACAUACCAUCCUAUGCAUCUCCAUGGGUACAGCUUCUAUGUGGUCGGAAGAGGCAACGGAAACUUUGACCGGGAAAGGGACCCUUCCAGCUAUAAUCUUGUCGAUC
rnacentral:lncRNA from 1 species